rnacentral:rRNA from 1 species
UACGUAGGGUGCGAGCGUUAAUCGGAAUUACUGGGCGUAAAGCGUGCGCAGGCGGUUCGUUGUGUCUGUGGUGAAAGCCCCGGGCUUAACCUGGGAAUGGCCAUGGAAACUGGCGAGCUGGAGUGUGGCAGAGGGGGGUGGAAUUCCGCGUGUAGCAGUGAAAUGCGUAGAGAUGCGGAGGAACACCGAUGGCGAAGGCAGCCCCCUGGGUUGACACUGACGCUCAGGCACGAAAGCGUGGGGAGCAAACAGG